UAACCUGCCUGUGAGAGGGGAAUAACAGCUGGAAACGGGUGCUAAUACCGCAUAAAGCAUAAUAAUCGCAUGAUUGAUAUGCCAAAGAGAGAUCGCUCACAGAUGGACUCGCGUCUGAUUAGAUAGUUGGUAGGGUAAAGGCCUACCAAGUCUGCGAUCAGUAGCCGGACUGAGAGGUUGAACGGCCACAUUGGAACUGAGAGACGGUCCAG
rnacentral:rRNA from 1 species